CACACGACCGUACCGCAAACCGACACUGGUGCGCGAGAUGAGUAUUCUAAGGCGCUUGAGAGAACUCAGGAGAAGGAACUCGGCAAAUUGACACCGUAACUUCGGAAGAAGGUGUGCCUUUAGUAGGUGAACCAUUUACUUGGGGAGCCCAAUGAGGCUGCAAAAAAUCGGUGGCUGCAACUGUUUAUUAAAAACACAGCACUCUGCUAAGACGAAAGUCGACGUAUAGGGUGUGACGCCUGCCCGGUGCUGGAAGAUUAAAUGAUGGGGUGCAAGCUCUUGAUUGAAGUCCCAGUAAACGGCGGCCGUAACUAUAACGGUCCUAAGGUAGCGAAAUUCCUUGUCGGGUAAGUUCCGACCUGCACGAAUGGCGUAAUGAUGGCCACACUGUCUCCUCCUGAGACUCAGCGAAGUUGAAAUGUUUGUGAUGAUGCAAUCUCCCCGCGGAAAGACGGAAAGACCCCAUGAACCUUUACUGUAGCUUUGUAUUGGACUUUGAACAGAUCUGUGUAGGAUAGGUGGGAGGCUUUGAAGUGUGGUCGCUAGAUCGCAUGGAGCCAACGUUGAAAUACCACCCAGGUGUGUUUGAGGUUCUAACCUAGGUCCAUUAUCUGGAUCGGGGACAGUGCAUGGUAGGCAGUUCGACUGGGGCGGUCUCCUCCCAAAGUGUAACGGAGGAGUUCGAAGGUACGCUAGGUACGGUCGGACAUCGUGCUAAUAGUGCAAUGGCAUAAGCGUGCUUAACUGCGAGACUGACAAGUCGAGCAGAUGCGAAAGCAGGACAUAGUGAUCCGGUGGUUCUGUAUGGAAGGGCCAUCGCUCAACGGAUAAAAGGUACUCUGGGGAUAACAGGCUGAUACCGCCCAAGAGUUCAUAUCGACGGCGGUGUUUGGCACCUCGAUGUCGGCUCAUCUCAUCCUGGGGCUGUAGCCGGUCCCAAGGGUAUGGCUGUUCGCCAUUUAAAGAGGUACGUGAGCUGGGUUUAAAACGUCGUGAGACAGUUUGGUCCCUAUCUUCCGUGGGCGCUGCAGAUUUGAGGAAGCCUGCUCCUAGUACGAGAGGACCGGAGUGGACGAACCUCUGGUGUAUCGGUUGUCACGCCAGUGGCAUUGCCGAGUAGCUAAGUUCGGAAGAGAUAACCGCUGAAAGCAUCUAAGCGGGAAACUCGUUUCAAGAUUAGAUCUGCCGGGGCCUUGAGCCCCCUAAAGAGUCGUUCAAGACCAGGACGUUGAUAGGUCAGGUAUGGAAGC
rnacentral:rRNA from 1 species